CAUUUGCAAACCCACGCGAGAGUCGUCUCUCCUUGAAGAACCCUAAUCAAAACCAUUCAUUCAAAGAUCCCAAUUCCGAGAUUCACCAAAUGUAAAACUCAAACCUCCCACAACGUCGUUCCUCCACCGAAGCCGCCACGCGUCGCCACCGCUGCGCAUUGCGGCACGAUUCUUCUGGCGCGCGAGCAGGCGGCGCAUGUUGUUGCAGGAGCCGUUGGUGUGCGUGCGGGAGGUAGAGGUCGAGGGGCGACAAAGCGACUGGGCAUACUCGGCGCCAGUGGUGGCAAUGGACGUGCUGUGGAACGUCGCGUUCCUGGCGAUUGGGAUCGUCGUGCUGGUGCUGAGCGCCAAGGAGGAGGUUCCAAAAGUGAGAUGAAACUCGUUUUGUUUGCUCUGUCGGUUAACUUACGUUUCCCUUCGUCGUUCAUCGCUUGCGCUUCGUUAGCUAUGGAAUAUGCUCUAGUGAUCAAGGUAUAUUGAGAUUGUUGGACAGAUAUUUGAUACAAAAGUUUACUUUCUGUUACUUUGAAGGCCAAAGGAUGUCAAAUAGGAAGCCAACGGUGUUCUUUGAUCUUUUUGCAUGCGUGUUACUAAUCUAUCAUCCCCAUAAAAGUAUGAUACAUAGGAAGCCACCGGUGUUCCUCUUUAAAAACAAAGUACUCUAUCAUGUUGUCCCUUCACUAGUAAAGCCACGAAAAGAAGGUCUGGAUGGGUACGAGAAGAUUAAGAGUUAUAUGUGGGUCUAUUUAUCCAUCUUAAGCAGUGAGCUAAUUUCUAGCUACACAUUGUUUUACGUGUACAUAAGUAAGAAAUGAUGUUUCAAUUUGUUGAGAAAAAUAAUUGUAUUGCAGGUUUGGGAAUUAUAUGUGUUUAUAGAUUAAAUAAGAAAAACCUAUAAAUAAACAAUUUUUUUCAACAAAAAAAUACAAAUUUACAUCGGUUCUCAGAACUGAUGUAAAAAUCUAUAUAUUUUUUACGUCGCUCUAUUCUACAUAUGUUUUAGAACCGAUGUAGAUGGUUUUAGAGAACCGAUAUAGAAAACAUGUCUUGUAGUAGUGUGGCCAGACUCAGUUUUAGAGGUCAAAAAUCAUGCUUAUGAACUCUCACAAACAUUUACUGCCCGCAUAUAUGGCUCUCGUGUACGAGACUACUGAGUAUGAUUUCCUAGACACUCUUUUUUCUUUUCUUUCUCUCUUAGUUUUAUGCUAGCUUAGUUUAGUAUAGUGUAAUGUAAUGUAAUAUUUUUG